GACGAACGCUGGCGGCGUGCUUAACACAUGCAAGUCGAGCGGUAAGGCCCUUUCGGGGGUACGACGAGCGGCGAACGGGUAGAGUAACACGUGGGUGACCUGCCCUCAGCUCUGGGAUAAGCCUGGGAAACCGGGUCUAAUACUGGAUAUGACUCCAUGACGCAUGUUGUGGGGUGGAAAGCCUUGUGCGGCUGAGGAUGGGCCCGCGGCCUAUCAGCUUGUUGGUGGGGGG
rnacentral:rRNA from 1 species